AUUGAACGCUGGCGGCAUGCUUUACACAUGCAAGUCGAACGGCAGCGCGGGCUUCGGCCUGGCGGCGAGUGGCGAACGGGUGAGUAAUACAUCGGAACGUGCCCAGUAGUGGGGGAUAGCUCGGCGAAAGCCGGAUUAAUACCGCAUACGACCUGAGGGUGAAAGCGGGGGAUCUUCGGACCUCGCGCUAUUGGAGCGGCCGUUGGCAGAUUAGCUAGUUGGUGGGGUAAAGGCCUACCAAGGCGACGAUCUGUAGCUGGUCUGAGAGGACGACCAGCCACACUGGGACUGAGACACGGCCCAGACUCCUACGGGAGGCAGCAGUGGGGAAUUUUGGACAAUGGGCGAAAGCCUGAUCCAGCAAUGCCGCGUGUGUGAUGAAGGCCUUCGGGUUGUAAAGCACUUUUGGCGGGAACGAAAAGGACUGUGCCAAUACCACGGUUCGAUGACGGUACCCGCAGAAUAAGCACCGGCUAACUACGUG
rnacentral:rRNA from 1 species